rnacentral:lncRNA from 1 species
UUGAAGCCUGCACGCUGCAGUAAGCCUCUUCCUUGGGUGCCAUGGUAGCUCACCAGGUGGUGCGCAGACCAUUAAGUCUGAGUCCUUACCGCAGUGACCUGGGUUUGAGUCUGGCUCAGGGUCCUUUGCUGUCUGUCUCUCUCACUAUCAAAAAAAAGCAGAAAUGCAAAAAGAAACGUAUCUUCCUUGCUGCGCUCCUCUAUCUAUUUAAUGUUGUACCCCACUCACAUCCAGUGUCUCCCGUCUUUUAGGCUGAGCCAGUUCAUGACAUGGAUUACUAAAUUCGACCACUUUGCUGGUUAGCCCAGAAAACGUUGUUUGUGCUGGUGCUGCACUGCCUGAAGCCGGUGUCUCCUGCUUCUCAGACUGAUUCCAGCGCUGCAUUCCUCUGCUCUGUCAGAUUGGCACACAGAAAAAGAGUCACCUGGCCGAAUGGAGAUGUCCGACGGUGUCUGGAAACCGAUGCGGACAUGGAGGCCGUCCAGCCCAUCAUCCAACGCCAGCACAUUGAAUGCCUGGCAGAGAAGAUCCACACGACCGCAGCCGGUGUCCAAUUCCUCCACACUUGCCUCGGUGCCUCCUCUGAUGUUGAAUAUAUGCAGAGCUGGUCUUGCUUGUCCAUUAAAUCAGGCAUCAUGCCAGGACAGCUGCACCCGUUUGGAAGACUUACAGCGACGAUGGGCCUCAGAGGAGCAUCUGAUUCAUGGAUAUCGCUGCCUAACCUGAGAGAUGGAGCAGGAAGAGCCACAGAUGGGCGCAGUGGGAGGAGACCACUGCCUCUAUGGAGGACCUUCACCUUCUGGUCAACAAAGGGCAGAAAACAAAGUCUGUUCUCUUUCAGGCAAGCGGGGACCUCUGAAAAGUGAAGCCAAUGAGGAAACGCCUUAAACCUGCAGUCUUUCAAAUGGCCAACGGGACAAUUCCCCUGUUCCCAAGUCCGAUUGCAUAGAAGUCUAUGAAAAAAUGACCCCACUGCUCACUUGAUUCAUUACCUAAGUAAACGUUUUCGCAAUGAGUUUGUUCUCAAUCAAUAGUUUAAAUUCUUCUUCAAUAAAGUGUGAUGUUCAUUUAGUAAAUUAUGAUGCCAUUUAGAGUAAACUAACCAUUAGAGUAUGCUUUUGAGUGUGGCCACGUUGUGAUUGACAGAUCGCUACCACAAGGUCUUUUUUUAAUUCACAUAAUGUGAACAAUUUUAUGUCAUCCAGUUUACGAAAUCCUCAAAGAUUUCUUAUUGUUGGAAACGUUGAUAAAAUCAUUUAAAAGUGACUAAAUGCUCUGUGAUGGACUACCUGUCUCCAAAAGGUAAUGACUGGGAUUUGCAUACUACUUUGGAAUGAUUUGAUAUCCUACAGGUAUUCUAGAAACAAUAAAAUACAGCGUGGUUUGAAAUCUGUGAUUAAUAUAUCAAUUUUUACCUCCCAUAUAUUGCAUGUAACAGUGUCAAGUGAUUUAAGGAUAAAAAAUAAACUGGUUGGUG